UACAGGGGGGGCAAGCGUUGUUCGGAAUUACUGGGCGUAAAGGGUUCGUAGGCGGCCGGCUAAGUCCGACGUGAAAUCCCCAGGCUUAGCCUGGGAACUGCGUCGGAUACUGGCGGGCUUGAAUCCGGGAGAGGGAUGCGGAAUUCCAGGUGUAGCGGUGAAAUGCGUAGAUAUUCGCAAGAACACCAGUGGCGAAGGCGGCUCACUGGCCCGAUACUGACGCUGAGGUGCGAAAGCGUGGGGAGCAAACAGG
rnacentral:rRNA from 1 species